CAUAGAAUAAGGCUUUGCAUAACUUUGUCUCAGUCUCGUUCCUUUGAUAACAGACCCAACAUAUGGGGGCUCAUCCGGGAUCAAACAACGAGAGUUGAGCCAGCAUCAGAAUUUCUGGGAAAAGCCUCCGGAGUGUUGCAUUUCUAUUCAC